UUUAAGACCUAAACAUGGGAUCAACACCUUACUUAA
rnacentral:tRNA from 1 species